CCUACGGGAGGCAGCAGUGAGGGAUAUUGGUCAAUGGCCGUAAGGCUGAACCAGCCAAGUCGCGUGAAGGAAGAAGGAUCUAUGGUUUGUAAACUUCUUUUAUAGGGGAAUAAAGGUAUCCACGUGUGGAUAUUUGCAUGUACCCUAUGAAUAAGCAUCGGCUAACUCCGUGCCAGCAGCCGCGGUAAUACGGAGGGUGCGAGCGUUAUCCGGAUUUAUUGGGUUUAACGGGUGCGUAGGUUGUUUUUUAAGUCAGCGGUGAAAGUUUGUGGCUCAACCAUAAAAUUGCCGUUGAAACUGGAAGACUGGAGUGUGUUAGAGGCAGGCGGAAUGCGUGGUGUAGCGGUGAAAUGCAUAGAUAUCAGGCAGAACUCCGAUUGCGAAGGCAGCUUACUAAGCCAUAACUGACAUUGAGGCACGAAAGCGUGGGGAGCAAACAGGAUUAGAUACCCGAGUAGUC
rnacentral:rRNA from 1 species